AAUAUCCACCCGAAAAACCCGAUUGGGAGAAGGGGAAAAAAGGGGGUACGGGUAUUAUCCAAGCCAGAAAAGAAAACCCUUGCUGCUGCUCCUGCACCUGCAGUCCUGCUCCCGUUUCUUUCCUUACUACUGUCUACUGCCAUUGUUGAUUUGUUGCUGUCGUUGCUGCUGCUGUCGCCGGCAACCAGUCGCUGCGGCCGCGCCACCCACCGGACUCCAAUGACGACGAGCUCUCCCUCAUCGCCGACAACAAUCGCUAUUUUUGUCAAUUUUCAGAAUUGUGCCUGAUUGGAAACAUUGGCUUCUCAAUAUAUCUUUCAUAAAUAUAGAUGGAAUUGGAAGUCACUCUCAGUUUCAGUCUAACUCGUCACUGAAUGCUCAAACCAUAAAUAUGGAUGGAUUGAAAAAUCAGGUUAGUGGUGAUCAUCUUGAAAAUGUUGAGCAUUAUUUUGAUGAUAAUAUUGAUAAGGAGUUGGAGGGAGAGGAUGAGGAGGAAGAUGUUUUAGGUGAUUCUAAAAAAAGGAAAAAGAGGGUAGUGGCUUCUAGAUCACCGUAUUGGGAUCAUUUCGUUAAAUUUCAUUGUGAAAAGGAUAAUGUCCAAAAGGCUAGGUGCAAAUAUUAUAGUAGACUGGAUACGAAAUAGUGCAAGCGCUUAUUUGUACUCAAGAUUGGAUACGAAAAGACUACAAACCAAUUAGCAUUGAGGAGGAUUUGAGUGAACUUGAAGUGGUUGAGAAAGAGUUAACUAAGUUGGGGGUUGAUUCAACAAUUAUUGACAUGUAAUGGUGCUAACUGGUACUUGUAAAUUUUUGACAAGGUCGAGGCUCGAGGAUGAAAAUGUGAUAUGAGCUAGUUGCUUUUUCAGUCUAUAGGCAUUAGGAUUUAGGAGCCCUUGGCUUUAUUGUUGUUACUAAAAUAAUUUACAAAAACCUAUGAUAAUUUAUGGAUGUGAUUGAACUCUUUUUUUUUUUGGUAUUUAUGUAAAGCUUUAAGUAUUUGUGUCCAUAACUUAUAUUUUAGAUUUACAUGGAGUGAAUUACUUUCAUUUUGAAAAAUUGACCUUGUACAUUUUUUGAAGCUAAAAAACCCGAACCCGACUGUCGGGUACCCGAACCCGACGGGUAUCUGAUUGGUCGGGUAUCCGACUUAGUCGGGUUCGGGUUCGGGUUCAUUUUUUCUAAACCCGACGUGUCGGGUACCCGACCCGAUGCCCACCCCUACUCAUACACACUUGGUGUGUUUUCUCCCUAAUUUUCUUCUAGCAAAUAAAAUUGAGGGAUUUCAUUUUCAAUGAGGUGUGGACGCAACUUUAGAAGGUUUUUACGUUGAAGUCUUGGGUGAAGGAAUCAAACGAAGGAGGUGCGAAAUAAAUCAAAGAGGAACUUCAAGGCUACAGCCUUUGGAACUAUUGUUUUAUUGCGUUUCCGUUUUAAUUUACUCAUUUUGUUAUCACCGCUUCCGCUUGCGUGUUCCCAAAGGGAAACCAUUGAAUCUCUCUCAUGGAGGGAGGCUGGCCUUGAUUAGAAGUGUGUUGCAGGCCACGCCCUUACAUUCGCUUCAGGUGAUUCAUCCGCCUAAGUCUAUCUUGAUAACUAUUGAACGCAUAUUCAAUGCUUUCUUUUGGGGCUUGUAUAAUGGCCACAUGAACAUCCACUGGACUUCAUGGGACAAGGUGUGUCUUCUAGUGACAGAAGGUGGUUUGGGUAUUCAGAGUUCGGCGGAUUAUGUCGGAGCUUUCUCCAUGAAGCUUUGGUGGUGGUUUAGGCUCAAAUUAUCCUUAUGGUUGGAAAUCUUGCAUGACCACUACUGUAAGAGACUACAUCCUACUCAUGUGCCGUAUAAUCGAAAUCAUUCAUGUGUUUGGCAUCAUCUAUAUCGCAUUAGAGAUGUGGCAGAGCCUCUCAUCUAGCGAGCUCGUGCAUGGGGCCCUCGACACUAUUGAGCCAGUACGUUAUUAUUGACAUGAGGGCGAAUGGAAUGUGCCCAGAAUCUUUAGACCAGUCCCGCCAAAGAUUGCACAUGUUCUUUGCCAAAUUUUGGUUGCAGCGAGUCAGAGGGACAAGAUUGUGUGGACUAGAGCCAGUGGCGAGACGUUUUCGACAACAUCGGCCUGGGAGGCUAUCUGAGUGGCUUCUCCUCGGCAGCAGCUUUUCGCAGAAAUAUAGCAUAGCUACUUGCGGCCAACAAUGUCAAUUUUCUUAUGGCGGCUAUUCCAGGACCGAAUUCUAGUAGAUGCACGUAUGAAGCAUAAGGCCUUUAGCUUCUUAUCUAAAUAUCAAUAUUGCGAGGCAGAGGAGACCAUUCCGCAUCUCUUUGUUGAGGGAUCAGCAGUGCGGG